rnacentral:tRNA from 1 species
GGUGGGUGUAGCUCAGAGGUAGAGCACCGGAAUGUGGAUCCAGUGGUCGUGGGUUCGAAUCCCAUCAUCCACCU